UACGUAGGCAGCGAGCGUUGUUCGGAGUUACUGGGCGUAAAGCGUGCGUAGGCGGUGUCUUAAGUUUGUUGUGAAAUCUCCCGGCUUAACCGGGAGGGUGCGGCGAAUACUGAGAUGCUGGAGUGCCGGAGAGGUAAGCGGAAUUCCCGGUGUAGUGGUGAAAUGCGUAGAUAUCGGGAGGAACACCAGUGGCGAAGGCGGCUUCCUGGCCUGUUCUUGACGCUGAGGCGCGAAAGCUAGGGUAGCAAACGGGG
rnacentral:rRNA from 1 species